UCUUACAAAAUUUGUAGGAUACAAAGAGCUCUUCCAUGACCUUGAGGUGAUGUUCAAUUUUGAAGGACAACUGGAGGAUCCAAACAAAGGCUGGCAAGUUGUCUACACAGAUGAUGAGGGAGAUAUGAUGCUUGUAGGAGAUGAUCCGUGGCAGUGAGAAAAGGAGGCAUUUGCUGACAGCUGGGUGGAGAGUCUUUGUUAACUCCGAAAGGCUUGUAGCAGGAGAUGCAUUCAUCUUUAUGAGGGAUAAAAAUGGCGAACUACAUGUAGGGGUCGGCGUGCCAUGCAUCAGCAAAGUAACAUUCCUGUCCGUAGUUAUAUCCAGUCGCAGAAUGGAG